GAUUGAUUACCUGGCAGCAGCUGAGGUAGCUACUCCUGGGUGGCCAAGAAGCCAAUCACUGUGUCUAUUGCAUGCAUGAUUGACGUGUCACUCCAGCUGAAGUGAAGAGCACAUAUCAGUUACAUUUAAUGAAGGUCAGGAGCAUCAUGCACAUCAUUUCUACAUGCAUGGUUGUCAUUUUCUCUUCUGCAGGAAUGUCCAGGACACUGAAGGUGCUCCAGAGUACUCCCACACCACAAAGACAUACUGGUUUGUCAUUGCAGUCUCAUCAGAACAUAUGGAAAAUGCAAAAAGAAUGGAGAAAGUAUAUAGAGAAAAAAGCAUGAUGGAACGUG